rnacentral:rRNA from 1 species
CAGUAGCCGCGGUAAUACAGAGGGUGCGAGCGUUAAUCGGAUUUACUGGGCGUAAAGCGUGCGUAGGCGGCUAAUUGAGUCGGAUGUGAAAUCCCCGAGCUUAACUUAGGAAUUGCAUUCGAUACUGGUUAGCUAGAGUGUGGGAGAGGAUGGUAGAAUUCCAGGUGUAGCGGUGAAAUGCGUAGAGAUCUGGAGGAAUACCGAUGGCGAAGGCAGCCAUCUGGCCUAACACUGACGCUGAGGUACGAAAGCAUGGGGAGCAAACAGGAUUAGAUACCCCUGUAGUCCCUGUCUCUUAUAA